rnacentral:rRNA from 1 species
GACGAACGCUGGCGGCGUGCUUAACACAUGCAAGUCGAACGGAAAGGCCCUGCUUUUGUGGGGUGCUCGAGUGGCGAACGGGUGAGUAACACGUGAGUAACCUGCCCUUGACUUUGGGAUAACUUCAGGAAACUGGGGCUAAUACCGGAUAGGAGCUCCUGCUGCAUGGUGGGGGUUGGAAAGUUUCGGCGGUUGGGGAUGGACUCGCGGCUUAUCAGCUGGUUGGUGGGGUAGUGGCUUACCAAGGCUUUGACGGGUAGCCGGCCUGAGAGGGUGACCGGCCACAUUGGGACGGAGAUACGGCCCAGACGCCUACGGGAGGCAGCAGUGGGGAAUAUUGCACAAUGGGCGGAAGCCUGAUGCAGCAACGCCGCGUGCGGGAUGACGGCCUUCGGGUGGUAAACCGCUUUCGCCUGUGACGAAGCGUGAGUGACGGUAAUGGGUAAAGAAGCACCGGCUAACUACGU